AGCAGGGGCAGGAAGGGCAGCUUGUUGGUCCACGGUGACAGCGGGAAGGCCGCCUCGCACGCCACCGCCACCACGCCGAGACCCAGCAGGGGUGAAGAGCAGCGGGAACAGCGAGUAAUGACCUGUGGUGGUUAGAAUCAGAAAUAUCCCAGCAUCCUCUCUGCUCUCAACCGCCAGGAAGCUGCAGGAAGCGACACAGACAAAGAACACAGAAAUAGAAGAUGGACAGCAGGCUGCAGAGCAGGGUGACGGAGGGGCUGACGGAGGGGAGGACCGAGUGCUGAAACUCCUGAACCAAACCGCCCGUCAUGGAGGCUGGAGGAAGCUCCGCCUCCUCGAGCAGCUUCAGACGAACACCUGAACAGGAUACGGUCGACGAUGAGGAGGCCGAAGUUCCACAGCAGCAGAACCGCCAGGACGAAGGGCGGGCGGCUCAAAAGGUCCCGUGGGCCUUUUGGCUCCUGAACGCACCGGCAGCACCUGGAGGACAGAGAGCCAAUCAGGACGGAGCUGCCCCUUGCUGAUUGUUGACGCCGUCUACCCGCCAAAAUAAAAGCCUGAUAGAAAGGUUUAGGUAUGUGUAUGUGUGUCUGUGUGUGUAGGUACGUGUGUAUGUGUGUGUAAUGUAUAUUUGUGUGUGUGUAAGUGUGUGUAUAGGUACAUGUGUUAGUAUGUGUCUGUGUGUGUGUGCGCACGUUAUGUUUUUGUAAUAUGUAUGCGUGUGUUUGUGUGUCCCUGUGAGUCCGUAUGUGUAUCUGUCUGUACGUGUGUGUGUGUCUGUAUCUGUGUGUUUGUGUGUCUGUGUGUGUAUGUUUGUGUGUGUCUGUGUUUGUGUGUGUAGGUACGUGUGUGUAUGUGUGUAUACGUGUGUGUGUGUGUAUGUUUGUGUGUGUCUGUGUUUGUGUGUGUAG